rnacentral:rRNA from 1 species
UACAGAGGUCCCAAGCGUUGUUCGGAUUCACUGGGCGUAAAGGGUGCGUAGGCGGUCGGGUAAGUUUGACGUGAAAUCUCCGGGCCUAACUUGGAGUCUGCACGAGAAACUGCCGGGCUUGAGUGUGGGAGAGGUGAGUGGAAUUCCUGGUGUAGCGGUGAAAUGCGUAGAUAUCGGGAGGAACACCUGUGGCGAAAGCGGCGCACUGGACCACAACUGACGCUGAGGCGCGAAAGCUAGGGGAGCAAACAGG